GGUGACCUGCGGAAGGAUCAUUAUCGAGCU
rnacentral:rRNA from 1 species